rnacentral:rRNA from 1 species
UACGGAGGAUGCAAGCGUUAUCCGGAAUGAUUGGGCGUAAAGCGUCCGCAGGUGGCUAUGUAAGUCUGCUGUUAAAGAGUGAGGCUCAACCUCAUAAGAGCAGUGGAAACUACAUGGCUAGAGUGCGUUCGGGGCAGAGGGAAUUCCUGGUGUAGCGGUGAAAUGCGUAGAUAUCGAGAGGAACACCUGCGGCGAAGGCGGGUUGCUGGGCCGACACUGACGCUGAUGCGCGAAAGCGUGGGUAGCAAACAGG